AGGACCUGCAGGACAAGAUUCUU
rnacentral:misc_RNA from 1 species